GACGAACGCUGGCGGCGUGCCUAAUACAUGCAAGUCGAACGCAGUGGGGACAGGUGAGUAACACGUGGGUAACCUCCCAUCAGAGGGGAUAACACUUGGAAACAGGUGCUAAACCGAUACGGCUGGAUGGACCCGGGGUGCAUUAGCUAGUUGGUGAGGUAACGGCUAACCAGGGCCACGAUGCAUAGGCGACCGGAGAGGCUGAUGGGCCACCCUGGUACUGAUACACUGCCCAGACUCCUACGGGAGGCAGCAGUAGGGAAUCUGCGGCAAUGGGCGCAAGUCUGACCGAGCAACGCCGCCUGUGUGAAGAAGGUUUUCGGAUCGUAAAACUCUGUUGUGAGUGAAGCGGUAUCUAACCAGAAAGCCACGGCUAACUACGUGCCAGCAGCCGCGGUAAUUC
rnacentral:rRNA from 1 species